UACGAAGGGGGCUAGCGUUGCUCGGAAUUACUGGGCGUAAAGCGCACGUAGGCGGUCUUUUAAGUCGUGGGUGAAAUCCUGGAGCUCAACUCCAGAACUGCCUUCGAUACUGGAAGACUUGAGUCCGGGAGAGGUGAGUGGAACUGCGAGUGUAGAGGUGAAAUUCGUAGAUAUUCGCAAGAACACCAGUGGCGAAGGCGGCUCACUGGCCCGGUACUGACGCUGAGGUGCGAAAGCGUGGGGAGCAAACAGG
rnacentral:rRNA from 1 species